GACGAACGCUGGCGGCGUGCCUAAUACAUGCAAGUCGAGCGAGACUCUUCGGAGUCUAGCGGCGGACGGGUGAGUAACACGUGGGCAACCUGCCUGUAAGACUGGGAUAACACCGGGAAACCGGUGCUAAUACCGGAUAAUCCUUUUCCUCUCAUGAGGAAAAGCUGAAAGUCGGUUUCGGCUGACACUUACAGAUGGGCCCGCGGCGCAUUAGCUAGUUGGUGAGGUAACGGCUCACCAAGGCGACGAUGCGUAGCCGACCUGAGAGGGUGAUCGGCCACACUGGGACUGAGACACGGCCCAGACUCCUACGGGAGGCAGCAGUAGGGAAUCUUCCACAAUGGACGAAAGUCUGAUGGAGCAACGCCGCGUGAGCGAUGAAGGCCUUCGGGUCGUAAAGCUCUGUUGUUAGGGAAGAACAAGUACCGGAGUAACCGCCGGUACCUUGACGGUACCUAACCAGAAAGCCACGGCUAACUACGUGCCAGCAGCCGCCGUAACAC
rnacentral:rRNA from 1 species